rnacentral:rRNA from 1 species
AUUGAACGCUGGCGGAAUGCUUUACACAUGCAAGUCGAACGGCAGCACGGGAGCUUGCUCCUGGUGGCGAGUGGCGAACGGGUGAGUAACAUAUCGGAACGUAUCCAAUAAUGGGGGAUAACUAAGCGAAAGCUUGGCUAAUACCGCAUACGCCCUGAGGGGGAAAGCUAGGGAUCUUCGGACCUGGCGUUGAUGGAGCGGCCGAUAUCUGAUUAGCUAGUUGGUGGGGUAAAGGCUCACCAAGGCGACGAUCAGUAGCUGGUCUGAGAGGACGACCAGCCACACUGGAACUGAGACACGGUCCAGACUCCUACGGGAGGCAGCAGUGGGGAAUAUUGGACAAUGGGGGAAACCCUGAUCCAGCGACGCCGCGUGGGUGAAGAAGGCCUGCGGGUUGUAAAGCCCUUUCGGUAGGGACGAAAGCUCUUGCUCUAAUAAUGCAAGAGGUUGACUUAACCUACAUAAGAAGCACCGGCUAACUCUGUGCCAGCAGCCGCCGUAACAC